rnacentral:rRNA from 1 species
UACGAAGGGGGCUAGCGUUGCUCGGAAUUACUGGGCGUAAAGCGCACGUAGGCGGUUUCUUAAGUCGGGGGUGAAAUCCUGGAGCUCAACUCCAGAACUGCCUUCGAUACUGGGAAACUUGAGUCCGGGAGAGGUGAGUGGAACUGCGAGUGUAGAGGUGAAAUUCGUAGAUAUUCGCAAGAACACCAGUGGCGAAGGCGGCUCACUGGCCCGGUACUGACGCUGAGGUGCGAAAGCGUGGGGAGCAAACAGGG